GUAAAGGGUACGCAGGCGGCUAGGAAAGAAGGAUGUGAAAUCCCAGGGCUCAACCUUGGAACUGCAUUCUUAACUGCCUAGCUAGAGUAUGUCAGAGGGGGGUAGAAUUCCACGUGUAGCAGUGAAAUGCGUAGAUAUGUGGAGGAAUACCGAUGGCGAAGGCAGCCCCCUGGGAUAAUACUGACGCUCAGGUACGAAAGCGUGGGGAGCAAACAGGAUUAGAUACCCUGGUAGUCCACGCCCUAAACGAUGUCAACUAGCUGUUGGGGUCAAUAGGCCUUAGUAGCGCAGCUAACGCGUGAAGUUGACCGCCUGGGGAGUACGGUCGCAAGAUUAAAACUCAAAGGAAUUGACGGGGACCCGCACAAGCGGUGGAUGAUGUGGAUUAAUUCGAUGCAACGCGAAAAACCUUACCUACGCUUGACAUGUCUGGAAGAUCUUAGAGAUAGGAUUGUGCCCGCAAGGGAACCGGAACACCAGGUGCUGCAUGGCUGUCGUCAGCUCGUGUCGUGAGAUGUUGGGUUAAGUCCCGCAACGAGCGCAACCCUUGUCACUAGUUGCUACGCAAGAGCACUCUAGUGAGACUGCCGGUGACAAACCGGAGGAAGGUGGGGAUGACGUCAAGUCCUCAUGGCCCUUAUGCGUAGGGCUUCACACGUCAUACAAUGGUCGGGACAGAGGGUCGCCAACCCGCGAGGGGGAGCUAAUCCCAGAAACCCGAUCGUAGUCCGGAUCGCAGUCUGCAACUCGACUGCGUGAAGUCGGAAUCGCUAGUAAUCGCGGAUCAGAAUGCCGCGGUGAAUACGUUCCCGGGUCUUGUACACACCGCCCGUCACACCAUGGAAGUGGGUUCCACCAGAAGUGGGUAGCCUAACCGCAAGGAGGGCGCUUACCACGGUGGGAUUCAUGACUGGGGUGAAGUCGUAACAAGGUAACCGUA
rnacentral:rRNA from 1 species